CCAACCCCCUGCUCCCUAGAGAAACCCUUAGGAUCUCUUGUGUAUCCUCCGGGUAUUUCUACGUAAAUGCAUCAAGUGGUGGGUGUUUGCAUACAUAUAUGCUGUUCGACUCCUUGUGUUUUACCUAAUGGUACACACGGGAGACUUCUGCUUAUGCAAAGCUGCCUCCUCCUUCUUCCUCCUCCCCCUCCUCCUCCUCCCCCUCACGAGGUCCACUCGUGGCUGUAGCAUGCUUUAAUUCGCUUCUCCUUUCACGUAGACCCUUGGGUUGUGCAUAGACACGCGUUUCCCACGUGCUCAACGUGUACCUGUGGAUUGAAUUCCCAGCAGUGGGAUCGUCGGCUCAGGGGUCAACCCAUCUGCAUCUGUGAUAAAAAUGCCUAAAUCAUCUUUUAUCAGGGUCGUAUCGUCUUGCAUUCAUAGUGACCUAGGAGAGCGCCUGGUUCGCAGUGCGACAGUCUUACCGAGAGGCUGUGUCGUCGCGCUUUGGAUAUUUGCCUGAUAGAAUGUUCGAAGGCCAGCGUCAGCUGAGCCCAUGUCCCAAUGAGGCCAACUCCACACUGCUGCUGCCUGAAUUCGUGAGGGUCCUGCCUGCCCAUCUCCCUGAUGGAUCAGUUCUGCUGGCGCUGGGGAUGGGACACUCCGGGACCAGAGUGCUUGAGGCACGCGUCAGGUAGGAUGGGAGGGAUCAGGACGGCUCUCCGCGCUCGUGUAAGGGAAAGAAGAAAUCAAGGAAGUGAUAGAACAGACAUUGUGGCCUUCCUCUGUGUGGCCCGGUGGGGCCACGUCUGCUGCUGGGAGGGGCCAGCUUGCUUCCCGAGCCCGCCUGUUCCCCAGGGGGAGGAAAGUGCCACUCCCCCGGACUCUGAAGGACAAAGAUGGACAGCUGGCUCUAAAAAGACGUAGAGGGGCGCCUGGGUGGCUCGGUCGGUUGGGCGUCCGACUUCAGCUCAGGUCACGAUCUCGCGGUCCUUGCGUUCGAGCCCCACAUCGGGCUCUGCACUGACAGCUCGGAGCCUGAUUGGGAUUCUCUCUCUCUCUCACUCUCUCUGCUCCUUGUGUGCACUCUUUCUCUCUCUCAAAAAUAAAUAAGCCUUGGGGCGCCUGGGUGGCUCGGUCGGUUAAGCGUCCGACUUCGGCUCAGGUCACGAUCUCGCGGUCCGUGAGUUCGAGCCCCGCGUCGGGCUCUGGGCUGACUGCUCAGAGCCUGGAGCCCGUUUCAGAUUCUGUGUCUCCCUCUCUCUCUGCCCCUCCCCUGUUCACGCUCUGUCUCUCUCUGUCUCAAAAAUAAAUAAACGUUAAA